AUGCUGCCAUACGCGACGGCGCCGGAGGCGGAGGCGGCGCUGGGCCGCGCCAUGACGCGCGCCGAGGCGGCCUGGCUCCGCUACUCCGCGUCCAUGCCCGACCACCUGCUCUACUGCCACAACGUCGCCAUCCUCCUCCUCCUCUACACCCUCGCGCCGCUCCCCCUCGCGCUGCUCGAGCUCCGCGCCCGCGCCGCUCCGGACGGCGUCGCCGCCGCCGUGAUGAGGCCGUCCACGUACAAGCUGCAGCCGCGGGCGCACCUCCCCCCCGCUGCGUUCGUGCGCUGCUACCUGGACACCGGCCGCGUCUUGCUCCUCACCGUCGGCGCGCUCAGCCUUGUCUCCUACCCGGCCGUCAAGAUGGUCGGCAUCCGCACGGGGCUGCCGCUGCCGUCGGCCGGGGAGGUGGCGGCGCAGAUGCUGGUCUACCUGCUGGUGGAGGACUACCUCGGCUACUGGAUCCACAGGCUGCUGCACACCAGGUGGGGCUACGACAACAUCCACCGCGUCCACCACGAGUUCACGGCGCCCUUCGGAUACGCCGCGCCCUACGUGCACUGGGCCGAGGUCCUCAUCCUCGGCGUCCCCGCGUUCACCGGCCCCGCCAUCGUGCCCUGCCACAUGACCACCCUCUGGCUCUGGUUCCUCCUACGCCACCUAGAGGCCAUCGACAUCCACAGCGGGUUCAACUUUCCAUUCAACCCGACAAAGCUUAUCCCAUUCUAUGGAGGGGCCGACCACCAUGACUACCAUCAUCGUGUGGGUGGUCAGAGCCAGAGCAACUUCUCUUCUGUUUUCACCUUCUGCGACCAUUUGUACGGGACGGAUAAAGGCUACCGAUACCAUAAGGCAAGCCUAGAAAAGGCUUGCUGA
rnacentral:rRNA from 1 species